AGCUGCUGGCCCAGCCAAGUGCUAUGCCAGCAGUCUCUCCCCUCCUCACGGGAGUGUCACCCCUGUUCACACCUGAGGACACGGCUCAGAGCAGGAAGGGAUAAAGGUGGAUGAGAGAAUGAAGCUCAGCUCCACUUCCCCGCUAGGAGGAAAUGAGGCAGAGAAGAGAGGCAACUCGGCAUCAGUUGUCCACGGGACAGUCCCAAGCCUGGAUUUGAACACAGGUGGAGAUGUGAUGUCAUUUUAGUACUCUUUUUGAGAAGUUGAC